rnacentral:ncRNA from 1 species
AAGAACGUGAUGAGAAAGAAGAGUAGUUUUUAACAUUCGGUAGCGAGUCUUGUUCGGUGAAAGAAGGCAGUCUAAGUUAAAAGUGAAAAUCACUUUCGAGCGCUGUGUCGAAGAAUUACUUGGUAGACACGCUGGGUACACCCAUUAUUGUGUUAGCGUAUAAUUUUGUACGUGAAAGGCAAUUAUAGUGAUAUGAUUGCAAAUCAAGGUGGUACAGUGCGGUGAAGCACCCUUGUU